AUUACCAGGCGCUCCGUAAAUGUUGUUUGCACCCAGUGUCUGCAUCGAGGACUUUCCUCUCAUCGCCAUUAUGCUGUUGCGACGACCCUCGAACGCCUUGAACGCCUUCGUCGAACGACGCGUCGACAUGUUCCGUGGUAAUCCUGAAACAAAUCGCAACCAAUUUCAAAAUCAACAAACAGCUCACCGUUGCCUUCGGCCAUACUGAAGAAACGUUGCCGGAACGCGACGUCCAGGGUAUUGAUGGCUUGAGUCUUCCUGCGACUCUUUUCAAGAUUUCUGAUUGUUUUCCGUCUUCCCGGACCACUGCCGCUGCCUUCAUCGUAAUCGCCCUCCAUGCCGUCGAGACGCUGCAGAUCGCGAACUAUUUCGACAGCGUGCUUCGAUAGAAGAGCCUCUUCAGAAAGAUCCUUCGACUAGAAAGAACCAGAGAAUCGAUUAUGCGGUGCUCGAAGGAAAACGUCCGGAGUAAAAAUAAAAAAUUAUUUGUACAAACUCUCACUUCUCCGGUGAAACUUUCUCACCUUUUUACAGCAGUACCAAUCGAGAACGGUACUAGCAAGGAUGUGAGCCAAAGUGCCGAACCGAUGGAAAAGCAUAGCCGUAAAUUGUAUGACCAGAAUGAGAGCGAAAAAGAAAACGAAAACGAGACCAAUAGGUUCGAGUUGAACGGUUAAACCAGUGAAAUAAAAAGAAAGAGAAAUAGAGAGGCAGAAAGUUAAAAAAGAGAGAAAAACGAGGCCGGUGUGCCGGUACCUCUGCAGUUUCCUCAACGAAGGUGAUGUUCGUCUUGAUGCCGAGAGGCCACACAACGUGAAGCUGAUCUUUGUUCAACUGUAGGUCUUCGCCGAUGGCUCCGAGAUGAUCAGCUGCCCGAGAACCAACGGAGGAAGCUCUUCGACGACCGGAUGAAUGACCGUGGGGAUCCACAGCUCUGUAUUCGGGGACGAAGAUUUGACAAGGCGGAUGAAAUUGUGUUCGAACGCUGAACGUUUAUAAAUUUUCGACUUUUCAAGUAGCUUGGAAGAUUGCCAAACGAUUUUUCAUGAUUCUAUAUAAGAAUUUAAAAAAAUUUCUAACUCUCCGGAAAGUUCCGAAGACUUUUGAGUUGUUGGAAAGUUGAGUUACGUUUUCACACACCUCUCGAUAGUUUCUAAUCGUUUUCCAAGUUGUUCCAACGACUCUGCUAUCGCAACGAGUUGUUGUUUUUCAUCGGAAGGUUGGUCGUGGGUGCAGAGCAUACAUUUGAACAAUCCAGCCAGGGAUAUUUCUAUGGAACCUUGAUUAUCGCCGUUGUUGCCUGCGCCGUUUUGCAGGAAGCCGAGAAGCGACUUUUGCUUCGCUUUUCGUUUAGCCUCUUCGGCCUCUUUCUUUUCUUGCUCGAGUUCCUAACGAGAGAGCGCAUAAGACUCGUAUCCGUUAAUUGUUCACAGAGUGUUUCAGUAUUUCCGGUUAGUUUGUGCAAAUUUGUGAGAAGCAGUGAAAAAGUCGGUUCCGAAGAGAUCAUUCGCGCGAUUGUGCCAACGCUUGGUCGAGUCAAUACCAAAUUUUCAAAGUUCUUUCCUCAAGAAAAUCGAGCAAAAAUCUCUUCGGGUUGUGAUUAAUCUUGCUUUGUUAAUUACCGCAGCGGACAGCCGAGUUUUCACCUCCCUCGUGCCCCACGUGAUAUCAUUGAGAUUGAAGAGCGAAUAUAUUAUUAGUAUGCAGUACAUCGAGGGUACGGUUAUGUAGUAAAUUAUGCCGUAAAUUAGACAUCCCAUUUCACGGGGAUGCAAAGCGGCGGUGACGGUCAAUUGGAAGGCAACGAAAAAAAGGAACAUGCUUGAUGGCGCUGUGAAACCAUCCUCGACUAUGUUUAUCGAUAUCGCCGUCGCAACGACUACCAUCACGAGGCCGUAGACAACGCUUAUCACCGCGGCUGCAAAUACCUGUUUUCAUGAUAUUAUUUUAAUUUAUAUUUUUCAGAAAUUCGAACAAAGGCUCAAGCUUUCUACGACCCUGAAUACAUUGACGUGAAAUUUGGGAUAGAAGUACGUUUGAGAAGUCCGCAGACGAACCUAACACAAGCUAACUAACCAUUUCCAGAAGCCAUUUUUGAAGGAUAAAAAGCAACACAGUGGUCAAAAAUUGGUCGACUAAAAAUGAUAUUCUGGUGAAAAUCAUUCAUCCGGAAAGUCUUGGAAGGGAAGCAGGGAACCGACCACCACAGGAAAUAUCUUCCUCCAUCCUCGACCCUCAGUUUCUUGAGCAUUUCUCCAAGAACAAACCUUCUUCGUUUUCUUCACUGCAACCUCUCUCGUACCCCACGAAACAACGUUCAAAUUGAUGAUCGAGUACAAUAUGAGAAGCAAAUACAUGGACGGGAUUGACAAAAGAUAAAUGAUGCCUGGUACGAUACACCAAAAUUCUUGGGGAUGAAGACAAGCCGCUAUCACGAACGAACUCACAAACAUGAACAGGAGAAUUGGAAUGAUGUUGUAAUAGAAGCUCGUCCAAUUGUCGAUUUUGAAGGCAGCUACGAAGGCUCCCACCAACAUAAGAAAUAUCGUUCCUGGUCCAAGGAUCGUACCGCCUAUUGUUUUCUUAGCGUCCAUAAGAAGAUCCAUGAUAUUGGCCAAUGUUGAGGGGACCCAACGACGACGUUGGUUGUAAAAUUCGUUGAAACCUUCAGGAGCAUGAGUGUAGGCAUCACUGGCAGCUGAAUAUUCGACCUUGAAAACAAAAAUUGAUAAAAUGGCUUGUUUGAUGCUGUAAGAAAAUGUGAAUCGAUUGAGCCGAGAGAACUCACUCGAUAUCCACGCUGCAACAGAAGUGUGCAGAGCCAACGAUCCUCCCCUUGAUCGUACUGCACGUAAUGUCUCGCUUCCUCGGAUCUCGUCGUAUAUUUCUUCAUGACGUUGUCGUCCAUCAGAGCCUUGCCUCUGAAGAGGGAAAAACAACCGGGACUACAGAGCACACAACCGAUCAUGUGCUCCGUCGCUUUUUGAAGCCAAUGACCAAUCGCGUACUCAAACAUUUGGUACCAAACCAUCGGACCUUAGGAAAAAACAAAAAAUCGAGAAAAUUCUAUUACAUUAAAAUGUAAAAUCUUCGCGCAUUCAGUCGAUUUUUGCAACAAAUUUGAAAAAAUAUCCAUUGAAAAAUGGGAUUACGGGUUUGACAUUUAUUUUGACGUACCUGAUCCUACUGGAUGGAUGCGCCCACAAGCGGCGCCGAGAUUUUUAUUCUUUUUCAUAAGAUCGACUAACAGUUUGACCGCAGCUGGCUGGAAAUCAAUGUCGCCGUCCAAUGUCAACAAAUACGUAUUUUCGGCUAUUACUUCUUUGCGGUCGACACUUAUUGGUUGUUCCAUAAGACGAUGCCCUAGCAAGUAGUACAUGUACAUGACCUGCGAAAACCAAAAGAUGAUUCAACGUUAGAAAGCAGCAGAAAGUACAGGCAACGUCCAGACCAGUCGACCACCGUAAGGUGUUGGAUAUUUUUUCGGUGCUCGCACGUGCAUUCUCGUCUGAUGAACGUCCGAAGCUGCUUCGUCCAGGGUGCCUACCAGUAGUUUCACGAAUCUAUUCACCUGGGAUUCGUUUUCGUCGUGGUCGCUGAGCUCGAAAGCAUCAUCGAAGAAUAUGCCCAUCGACUGGUCGAUCAACAAAGAGUCGUACAUCGGCACGACGAACAAUUUCUCAGUAGCUGCGAGUCUCUCGCAUUUCGGUGUCCAGAUAUGCAGAGUGAUCCACGUCUGCGACAAAAGCCAAAGGAGCCAAAUCCAAGCGUAUUGUUUCGAAAUGAAAUCAUUGAGGAAAUUGGGGUCCUCCGGUGACUGGAAUGAGAGAUAGUCGGGAAUGGUGCCGUGGAAAAAGCAUGGAUCGCCUUCGCGAAUUCCGACGGCCGCGAUGAGCAGGGAAAUCGUCACAGGGAUCGGAAAAUACGAAUUCUGGCUUCUUCAACGCACCAAUCGGACUCUGAAGCGACACGUAGUUUUCCCACCAGCCGCACGAUACCAGGAACAACGAGGGUGGUAUCAACCAUAAAGAAGGCUCAGAGCUGGUCAACAAUGGCCAAACCACGAAUCCCGUUGCUUGUGCUGCUAACGCAGCAAGAUCGACCAACACGAGGACGCAUCUUCUUGAUUGAUCUUUGCUCUUAUUUCGAGAAAGCAAACCUGCCCAAAUGUCAUGUAACAGUAGAUUUUAGGAGGAUGGAAUUGAGAGUUAAAAAUCUUGGAGUCGUGAGGCCAAAAUGACGAUCGAAUGAAUCAUUGUUGAGGAAAAAACGGUUGUGAAAAGUGGAGAGGAAUUUUAAAAAUAAUAUUUUUUAAUGGAACGUGGCAAGUGUCUCUGUGUCCAGGAAACUUUUAGUGUUUUCAUACGGACUGAAGUAGCUGAAAAUCUGAUUGAAAUGGCUUUCGAAAAAAGCUCGUAAUUUCAUAACAGAAAAGGUAUAACUCACCAAGAAAACCUGGCACGAAACACACGCAAUUUGUUAACAUGGCACCUCUGACGACAUCGAGUUCAGGCAAUACUGCAAAGAACAUUAGCGCGAGACCAACAACGUGGAAUGUUUCCAUUACGAAUACCAGAAGAAAGUGCGACGACAAAGGCUUCUUCCACGAUUUGAAAAUGCAUAUUCUCAAACUUCUUAUAAAAGUACCAACUUCGGGCACUACGAAUGCGAUUAUUAUGCACCACAUCCACGCUAUUCUUUCCUCAUCCGCUUGCGGAGCAUUUAAUAGAAGGAUUAGUUUCGCCAUCGACGGAUGUCGAAAAAACCAUCAGAAAGUUGAAUUUUGUCGUUAAAAUGAGUUUGAAGAAAAAAAUAAUCAGAAUUAUCCUAUCUGCAUCGAGGCUCCACAAAUUUCUCAAAUAAUAAAAACAACGAAUAAUUCAGUAAUUUAUGAUUUCGACACACGAUGAGACAACAGGAACAGAGAAUGUUUUUUCAAAUAUUUCGAUGGAUAUUUGAGUUCAGAAUGAAAACGGUCGUCACAUUUAGUGCUCUUCGACUCGAGGAAAAUGGCGAGUGAUUUUUUAAAAAUUUCUGUCCCCUCAAAAGUUUCAGACUUUCAAUUUUUCGUUUCCAAAGAUUUCCAUUGUACCAAACAUUCGAAUUGUAGACUUUUAGGCUUUUCUUCGAAAAAAUGGUGACGCUUACCCAGCUGUUUGUUACAGUAGGCGAUUUGCCGACCCGCUUUCAGUUGCGAGGUCAUGAAGAGAAUUGUGCCUUUGGCAAUGACUCCGCAUCCGAGGACAAUUAUAAAGACGAGGAGGUAGACGAUAACUUUCGUUAUUUGAACUGUGACGUCGAAGCAUUUCUGAUUCGCCAUCGAUCCCGAAUCGAUUUUCGGGGGUGGAUCUCUGAACACGUCCCAUCCUUUCGUCUCGACGAGUGUCCUUUGACUGAUGAACAUUCGAAAGUUUUAUCUCACUCCAAAGUCAAGUGUCUUGAAUCUCAACAAUAUUCAUUUUCGCCAAAGUAUUCCUCACGUUUCAUCUUUCAAAGAGAUUUCGUAAUGACGCUUUUUUACCUGCCGCCAUAAGCUUGCGUCAACGGAGUCGCGUCGUCGUCUGAAAAAUCAUCGGUUGGAUCGACUCCUCCACCGGGCACAACACCGUUUUGUUGCAUUUUCGACAUUUUCCCGAAAUAUUUUUUUCCUGUGAUACGAAAGUCAAACGAAUUAUACCGAGAAACGAAUGAUCCGUCACAAAUAAAUACGCGAAUCGUCAAAAGUUGCGACAUCGCUCGAAAAAUAUUCAAUCUCAUUGAAAUUACCGCGUUCGCUUAGCAAACUUCAAACGCAAAAUAUGAGCGUAAGCACGCGAACAUUAUUUCGGAGUAAAACCACGUAAUCGUCGCACUAAUGAAAUUAUCGUUCUAGUAAUAAAUUAUUCCAAUCAUCAAAACUGAAAUCAUCAAAUUAUUAAUGAAUCCUUCAACAAAACCGAGGCAAAAUGCCACUAAUCGUUUUGCCCAAAUGCCUGUUUUCGUAACGUAUAACAUAAAAAUUGAAGUGCAUGAGAAAUGAAUCGAUUAGGGAAAAAUCAAGUGGAAAGAUUCCCGCGUUGUCGACAAAACCCCCAGAAUAAAUGGAAAUCGUUUAUUCGCACUAGAAAAUAAAACAUUAAGGUGGUUCCUCCA